CUCAAAGUGGUGACUGUAGCCUGGCAGAAUGCCAGCAUUCCUGGCAGUCUUGGACACAUCAUUUGUAUGUGUGUGAGUGUGUGAGUGUCUGUGUUUGCGCGUGUUUGUGUGUACGCUCGCUUAGCCGUGUGUGCGUAGGUGGAAAUGGUAAUAUUUGAUUUCGCACAUUAAUUUGUGUUUGUCACAUAUUAGCAAAACACAUGUUACUCUUACCAAAAUCAUAUGCUCGCACACUUGCAAUUACUCCCACAAACACACACAGGGGUGAGUGCGGCAGGUUCUCUUGCUGUCAGGUCUUGCCCAUUCAUCCACACAACUUCCCUGUGGAAUACCACAUAAUGAGUCCGUGUCAUGUAGGUACACAUAACUUGAAGUAUACAUCUACAUUCAUCACAUGCAUAAUGCAUGUACACAUUAUUAACUUUUAUCAUUAUGCAUAUAUACAUAAUUAUACAAGAGUCUAAUCCUUUACAUGAGUGAUCAGUCAUACAUACAAGGGCUGAGUUCAGAGCCAUUAACACUAAAACAUUUUUUUAAAGGAAAUUGUAUUUGAAAAUGUAUUUUUUGGGUUACUAAAUGUGUGUUUUUUGGGGUUGUUUUUUUUACACAAACAUAGAAUUUAUAUUGGUUCAUAAUGUUUUUUUGUUUUAUUAUUGUAUUAUUAUUAUUAUUAUUAUUAUUAUUUUUGUUAUUAUUAUUAUUGUUAUUAUUAUAUCCACCAUCAUUUCCACCACUUUCUGUCUUUUCCAGCUUUAGAUAAAAUGGAAAUAUAUAUAGCUUUUAUCUUUGGUUUUUAUUCAGGAUAUGAUGCGAUAGCAUUUUGGAAAUUCUUUAAAUGUGCAGGUGGCACUCCUCAGGCAGUCAGAUGAGGCCAGACAAGAGUCUGCAAGAAAGAGCCGAGAGGUGGAUGUGGAGAGAAGAAAGGCCCAGAUGCUUCAGGAGGCGUUACACAAGGAGCAGGAGAAGCUGCAGAGUGCUAUCAGAGAGAAUGAGACCCUGAGCACUGUCAUCGGAAAGCUGAGGAAAGAGCUGGAGGAGCUGCGCAGCAGUCACCGAGUGACAGUGGAGGAGUUGGCAGCCCGUGCAGAGGAGGUGAGGCGGAUGGAGGGGUGUCUGAAUGAAGGCAAGCUAGCAGAGGAGAAAAUAAGGUCAAUGGCUGCGGGGCUGAAGAAGGAGCUGACAGAGGCUGUCCAUCAGAAACUCACAGCAGAGAGAGAGAAACAGGAUGCACUGGACCAGGUGAUCACGCUCCGGUCAGAGCUGGAGGGGACGCGGUCCGACAAUGCAAAGCUUCUGCACGAGAGCCAGCUGGUCAUGACUAAUGUCAACCUUUGGAUCACUGAGCAAAAGGCUUCCAGUGAGAGCGUUAUUGCCCAGAUUAAAGCCCAAAACAAAGCUCUGCUCAUCAUCACUAAAGAGAAAGAAUGUCUUCAGGAGGCUAAUGACACACUGAAGGCGGAGGUAAAGAGACUGAAAGAAGCGGUGGAUGAGAAGGAGAAAGACAUGGAACUCUUCAAGGCCCGUCUCCGGGACUGGGGAGUACAGCAAGAAAGGAAAACCAUGGAAAAGAAGGGGUGCGUUGCUCUAAACCUCAGCAAAAUCGAGGACAUGCAGACCAGACUGCAAAGCAACCUGGAGGCCAUCGGAAUGCUAAAUCAACAAUUAGGCAAUCUCAGUCAGGAGAAUAAGCAGUUGCGUAGGCAGCUGGAAGAAGAGAGGUCCAUGCAUAGACAAGUGGAGAGGAGUGGGCCCCUUCCUCCUCCCUCUACAACCGCCAUCCACCUCCCACUCUCUCUCAGUGUCAGCCCUCCUAUCUGUGCCUCCCUUCCCUCAUCCCAGGGCCUGCCUCGUCUUCUGAGCAUAGUCCCAGUGACAGGGGACACUAAUGGGACUCAAACCAAGCCGAGUACAGUCGGAGUAGAGAGACCAGCUGAUGGUCUGACAGAAAUAGAAGGGGCGUCAAGAGUCACCACGGCAGACAGAUCGCUUCAGGCUGUGGCACACACCACCUGAACUGCCUGCGCAUGUAUGCUUGUGUGUAUGUGUGUGUGUAUGUGUGUGUGAGCAUGCAUGAUUUUGUUGUACAGCCAUUAAAGCAUACUAUCAAUCAAAAAACAUCAUUAAAGUUUGUAUUUUAAAUAAAUGAUUUUAUUAAAACAUAAUUACUGAAGCACUGGUGUAAUAUAUAUUAUUUCCAGUAAAGGACAGGAGGGUGUGCGCUCGCCACACAUCAUGGUCCAGCUAAUUCUGGGAGAUUACAUUUGGGUCAUUUUGAAACAGCUCUCUUGUGGUAGUUUUGUAGCAGAAUAAUUUAUCAAAACAUUUUAUGCUGUCCCCCAAUUGAUUGUGACCAGCACUAAAAGAUGCAAUACUUAGGCAUGCAGUAUGCAUGAAAUUAUGCUAAUGCAUAACACUAGCGUUCAUAUGCAUCUGCAUAUUGAUAUAUACAGUAUCUUUUACCUGAUUACAUUAAAUCUAAUAAGUGUAGACAAACACCGAGUGAUUCAAAAUAGACAUAAAAUACAGAGCACCUGCCUUUUCCUUAUUGCGCUUUUUAAUAUAAUAAAGUAUAUAUGUGAUAUAUAGUAUA
rnacentral:lncRNA from 1 species